AUGAUUUUCUCUCCAAGCUAAGUAUGAAGAACACGAUUUCUGUCAAACUUUCUCACAGAUUUCACGAUUUCAUGUUGAAGAGAUGAAGAGUUACUCGCUGAAGAACACGAUUUCACAAUUUCUUGUUGAAAGGAUUUUGUUGGAAUAUGGUUUAUUAGUUAGGAAAGGCAAAGAGAAAACCAGGGCUUAUUGGAAUGUAAGCCUGUAUCAAACUUCACUUACCGCUACCGAAUUCAGUCAUUGCUCAAUGGUAGAUUUCUGCGGACAAGAGAUUGAUGACCAGUGAUGAAAGAACUACAUCAGACGCCGCGAGUGAAUUGGGCAUACUGAGACAAAGUCAUACUGUAUCUUAUUUAAGGAAUGAGAUUUGAUCCAGAUUGGUCGAUAAUGCUCAUAUUUCUACAAAAGAUGUGCAGCUGAACGCCUCUUCUACAGAUGACCUGAAUCAUCAUCAUUAUCGAAGUGAACAGUCUUAAUCAAUAACGAACAAGAGAUAAUUGAUGAAUCAUGUGAUCAAUUUGAACUCGAUAGUGAAGAGAUGGAGACUACUGAUGGAUUUCAUGUAAUAGGGAACUCAGAAUGCAUUACAUUUGAGGAUGUAAACCAGCAAAAUUCGGGUGAUCAAAUAGCUGAACAUUCAAAUCAAAUCAGAGGACAGGAGGAUAUUGAGCAAGAGACAUCAAAUUUUGAAUUUAUUUCCAAUGUACCUGAAAGAGAGAAUAAUGACAUUAGGAAUUUGACGGAGAAUGGUGCAGCUGUUGAAAGUGGUUCUCGAGGGCAUGUACGAGAAGCCCAUGAACCCUUUCAUGAUAAUGAUGCACCAAGAAGUGAGGCAAGUGAUACUCAUGAAGUAUAUGGUCAUUCUCAUGGCUUGAUAAGAAGUACUUUUGAGGAUUAUGAGUGGCAAGUUUUAUCAUCUCAGGCAGAAGAUCCCCAGAAGUUGUCACGGAUCAUGAGGAAAGAAACUUGCGACAACAAGAAGCGCCAUAUGAACUAGUUAUCGAACAUGG